CAUAAGCCUAUUGACUUCACACAGUUGUACUAAUAGAAGGACCAGGCAUAGAAAUAUGCAUAUACCAGCCUAUGAAAUUUGGAGGCAAGUAGAAGUUGGAAGGUAGACAUCACAUAUUUUUACCUUUAAAUAGUAUUUAAUAUAGUAUUUAAUAGAUUGCCUUUUUUCAUUUGAAAUGUAUAAAGUAAGCAAAGCAUAAAGAAAAUUGUGAAAACUGAUGGUAAGCUAACCUGCCUCUAGUCUAUUUUCUCAAGACCUUUCUUAUGAGGGAAGUACUUCUGUGUAUGUGUUUGUCUUAUUGGAUGAUAAAUAAAGUACUGUUUGGCCAUUGAUGCAGCAAGUUAGACAGGACUAGGAGUCAAGGAGGAUACUGGGAGAUGUAGUAAAGAAGUGAUGAUCCAGGCAGGAAAUGACAUAGCAGGGAGACUCAUACAUGAACAAAAGAAGAAGGAAAUGGGCCCCUUCUCUCUUCCUCCAGAGUCACCAAGUGAUCCUGGGAUGAGGACCCCAAUGGAAGGCAUCUGAUAAGAUAAGUCUUAUAAAAUAUAUAGAUUUAUGAUAAUUAAGAGUGAGCUAACAGAUGAGAAUCCUAGUCAUUGGCCAAGCAGCAUUUGUACCUAAUAGAAGUCUCUGUAUAUUAUUUGGGACCCUAACUCGGUGGGCAGAACUCAGAUGGCUGGCAGAAAGCACCCACAUGGCAGUAGGGCUUGGGAGGCUUUUGCCAGAAAGAUUUAUUGUAACAUCUUUCUAUUCUUUUAUUCUCAACUUAUCCAGUGUAGACUUUUAACUUGAUGAACCUUUAUGCUGACUCGACCCUUGCACCACAUUCACUUUUUUUUCAGAUAGAGAUUUAAUCACAACCAGGAUCAGUAAAACUAAAAUAAGGUCAGAGUCCAUGCUUCUGGUGAGCAGUAGUAAUGGUAUCCCUUCACACAAAAAUGGUAGAAGAGGAGCCAGUCACUGCACUGAAUUCAGACUUAUCGAGGACACCUUCUGCUGGCAUCCUCUUCCCAGGAUCACAUGGAGGCUCUGUAGAGAAGAGAGCAAGAGGAAGCACCCUGCUUAUAUUCUGAGUCUGCCUGCUAUGUCACUUCCUGCCUGGAUCACAAGACUUCUUACUACAUUUCGAAGAAUUCUCCUCGACUCCUAGUCCCACCUAUCCUGCUUCCUCAUUGGCCGAACAGUGCUUUAUCCAACAGCCAAUAAGAUAAGCAUACACAGAAGGACACUCUCCAUCACUCAGCCAAUGAUGCUUGUUCACAGGUUGCAUGAAUGGAUUUCAAGUGUGAGAACUGACUCAGGCUCUGGGCUUUCAGCCCCUAGGACUAAACAGGAAGCCAUGGAAAUUGCUGUAGGCUUUUCAGAACAGUGUUUCCUCUGAUGGAAAUUAUUUUAAAUAUUAAGAAAUGUGCUUUCCAUAGGAAUGGGAGCCCAUCCCACAUGGAGGGAUACUCCCUGAGCCUAGACACAUGGGGAUGGGCCUAGGCCCUAUCCCAAAGGAUAUGACAGACUUUGAAGACCCAUAUGGAAGGCCUUACCCUCUGUGGGGAGCAGAAAGGGUAUGGAAUAGGUAGGGUAUUAGAUGGGGGGCGCAGAGGAGGAGGGGAGGGAGAGGGAACUGGGAUUGACAUGUAAAAUAAUCUUUCUAAUUCAAAUAAAAAUAAACAAAAAACAAAAAAAGAAAUGUGCUUUCAAUAAAGUGUGAUGGCACACACCUAUAAGCCCAGAACUUGAGAGGCAGAACCAGGUAGAUUUCUGUGAGUGUGAGGCUAGCCUGGUCUACAUAGAGAGUUCUAGGUCAGUCAGGGCUACAAAGACCCUGUAUCAAUAGAAGAAGAAGAAGAAGAAGAAGAAGAAGAAGAAGAAGAAGAAGAAGAAGAAGAAGAAGAAGAAGAAGAAGAAGAAGUACGGGGAGGGAAGUAGAGAGAGAGGGAGAAGGGGUGUUUUUUAAUCAUUUAAACAGGAAUAUCUACAUAGAAUUCCUUGCACAUGUUAAUUCAUAUAAUUUGAUAAAUCCUUGGUCAUCUUUUCAUCAUAUUUCCUAGAGCCUUGAAUUAGUUCAUGUAAAAUCCUCUUUAACUAGAAUGCAUUUUGCAUAAGGUAAAAGAGUAAAAAGGUAAAGCAUGACAUCACAAGGAAAGCAAGCUUCCAUGUAUGCAAGCAGGAAAUGAAGCACCAGAAGGAGCUGGCAGUUUUGACAUAUUUGUAUGCUCAGAAACGGAGGUAUUUGACUCUGUGUUUUGCUCUUCUUUUCCCCACAUGUGUGCAAUUUAGAUUAGGCACUCUUUCUGACAGAAGCACGUCAAAUGCGUCUCUGCAUGCUGCACAAGAAUAGCUGGCUAUCACUUUGAAAAUAGAAAUAUGGUUUUUAAAAAUUGUACCAUAAUUGCUUUAAUAUUCAUAGUGUAUCAAGACAAAAUGAGUUCUUUAACAUAGUUUGCUUUUUUUAAAUCCAAAGAAGUUAAAUUGUCCUAGUACUGUCAAUAAAAGGUGUCCAGUAUAUAGGAACAUAAUAAAAUUAGAAAAGUAAACUGAAGUUCUGCUUAAAUGCCCCUGCUGGUAGUUUAAAUGAAGUUAAGUAUUGACCAAUUGAAAGACUGUGGAAAUGGCUUAGUGGGUAAGAGUGCUUGCUACAAAGCAUGAGGACCUGAGUUCAAAGCCACAGCAACUAGGCUAAAGAGUUGGGCAUGGCUACAUGCAUAUCUGUUUCCCAAUGCUCUGGGAAUAAAGACAGGAGGAUUUGGGGGACUUGGUGAGCCGGUCUAGCUCCAGGUUCAGUGGAAGACCCUGAUGCAAGGGAAUAAGCUGGGGAAUAAAGGAAAAAGACACUUAGCACUCCCUUCUGGCCUCCAAAUAAUAGGAAAGAGAGCGCCUGCAUGCACACAUACACGUACAGACAUAUACACAAACAUACAUAUACAUGCACAUACAGAGGCACACUUGCGCAUGCACACAGAGACACACAAACACAAAGUGUUUAUUAAAAAGAAAACAAACUACCAGUUGGAGCAAUGAUCAGGAUUGUAAUUUUCUUUGGCACUUAUGUGAAACAUAAAUAAAUUCAUUAGAAUAAAAAUGCUAUGCUAUAUAUGAUUUUGAUGCAUAAUAUAUGUAUGUUUUAUAUACGAUACAUAUGUGAAUGUAUAUUUGUGUAUAUUCACAUACAUACUACAUAUAUAUGAGCAUAGUGUAAGCAUACAUUUUGUAGUGUAUCUAUAUGUAAUAAGUAGAUUUAUUUGUAGUAUAAAUCUUGUAUCACUAUAUACUGGAUAAGAUUUUGAGGAACUAUAAAGACCGGUACUAUAACUCAAAUAGCUACUUCACUCAAGGCUUGAACUCCUCUCUUAUAUUUUUUUUUUUACCCAAGAAUACACAACAUCAUUGUACAAAGACACUGAUGUUCUAGCUCAGAUAGAGUAAUUGAAUCAAGCUCAGAAUGAGUGGGGCCAUUUCACAUGUGUCUACAGAGAUGUACAUCUCCAGUCUCUACUAAGUUUUGAGAAGCCAGGUGGGGAGGGGUUGGUGUUCUAAACUCCAUUGACUCCUUUUAGGAACCUAGUGGCAUAAAUAGUGUCAGCUGUGACAUGCUAAUAUGGGUGCCUGCUUUGUGUGGCUGAUUUUUUCUGUUAGAAAUCUAGGUUACUGGACCUAUCAUUACCAUCUCUCCAGUUGUUUCAUGUAAGGACUUACAAGAAAUGAAAUAUUCCAAGAAGAUAAGAAUGGUGAUUAAUGCAAUUUAUAAUUCUGUCUUCUGUGAGGCUUAAAUAAGCCUCUCAUUUACAGAGACGACAGAAAAUUUGUUUCAUGAGUUUAACUUCCAAAGGUCAUAGAUAUUUUUGGAAAUUUUUCAUAUCCCUUUAAUGAUCAUAUAUAUGGUUUUAUCUUGGUUUGUGUGUGUGUGUGCGCGCGCGCGCGCGCAUGCGUGUGUGUGCAUGCAUGCAUGUGUGUAUGUUUAACAGACUAAAUGUUAUUUUUCUGACUUGAAAAUCCUCUAUGGUGGCCACAGCUGGAGACUGGGUCCUCUGAACAGAUACUCUGGUGGGAGUUUUUUCAAGAUGGCCAGUGAAUUCCUGGAGUCACUGGCCUGAAUUCUUGGUGAACACAGCCUUUUUGCAGAGGUUGGGGGUCCCCUCUAAGUCUUGAAAAUGGUCUCCAAGGUGGUCUCAGCAAAGUUGCCCAGGGUGGCAGUGCAUCCCUUGGUUGAUGUGUAGCAGUCAUCAAUACCGGCCAUCAUCAGAAGUUUCUAGGUCAAAGGAACAAAGACAGUGCCAGUGCCUCUGGGGGCAGAGACAAUACAUCGCCAACAAAGAGCCACAGUGGCCUGUCGCCUUGCACUGAACAGUAUUGGGCUUGCCAAUCCAAUCUUCUUUUCCCAGUUCUCUCUCUGAACAUGGACGAUGGAAAGCUUGCCUAAGAUGAUGGCCCCUCAGAUGGCAGUGGCUGCCUCUUUGGAGCACUUAACACCAAGACCAACAUGACCAAUGCAGUCCCCAGUAAUGACAAAAGCCUUGAAUCUAGCCCAUUGGCCAGUCCAAGUCUGCUUCUGCCCUGGCAUGAUCUUUAGAACCUCAUCCUUUAGGGAUCCGCCCAGAAAAGUCAGUAAUCUUGGAUUCCUAUUCCUUAAUGAGCAGGGAGAAUGACUCCAGGGACUUGGUCUUCAUGUCUUUGAUCACGCAGCCCAGCUUGGUGAUGGGGAUUCACUCCUUGUCUUCUGUUUUACCUCCACAAGCCCCACAAUCUUGAUCAUAGCUGUGGACUCAGACCUGACCAUGACCACGACCAUGACCACAACCACAAUCUCAGCUCCUAAAACAGCUCUGGAAACCUUUGCAGUAGCUGCUGCAGCCAUCUAAUCCUGGGCUCUCCCACUGCACCGGAGUGUCUGCCAUUUGGUGUUUUCCCAAAGAAGAAAAAGAAGUGACUUUUAUUGAAUAGACUCAUAAAGAUAAAGCUCCACUUAGACAAAUAGCUAAAUGGUAUUAGAUAUUUACUACCAACUGUUUUUUGCUUAUUAAAGAUUCGUUUUAUUGAUGACAUUAUUAUUGUAGUUGUUUUAUCGACUUCAAGAAUGUCUAUUCU
ensembl:lincRNA